AAUUGUUUUUAAGAUUCAACUGUAAACUGCUUUCAAAUAUUUUGGAAUAAGAAUGAAGAUUGUCUGUUAGUUUUUAUUUGGUGUUUCCAAUUUGGAUUUAUUCAGUGUUGUCCACGUAUAAGUCGUAUUAUAAAUGUUUUGGUUCUGUUAAUGAUGGCAGUACAGGAGAUAACUCGGAUGAUUCCGAGACAUCAAUUGGUAUUCAUACUACUGUUGAAAGUAUCGACCUCGUACUUCGGAAAUCAACUUGAAGAUACUAAAAAUAAUAACGGAUCUAGUCCAGAUCACUCAAAGGAUGCUGAGACAUGAAUUGGCAUUCAUUUUUCUGUUGAAACUACCAACAUCAUACGUUGAAAAUGAACUAGAAGUUACUGAUAAAGAUAAUGGUUUUAUGCAAUAUGGCAGUACAGGAGAUAACUCGGAUGAUUCCGAGACAUCAAUUGGUAUUCAUACUACUGUUGAAAGUAUCGACCUCGUACUUCGGAAAUCAACUUGAAGAUACUAAAAAUAAUAACGGAUCAUUCAACUGUAAACUGCUUUCAAAUAUUUUGGAAUAAGAAUGAAGAUUGUCUGUUAGUUUUUAUUUGGUGUUUCCAAUUUGGAUUUAUUCAGUGUUGUCCACGUAUAAGUCGUAUUAUAAAUGUUUUGGUUCUGUUAAUGAUGGCAGUACAGGAGAUAACUCGGAUGAUUCCGAGACAUCAAUUGGUAUUCAUACUACUGUUGAAAGUAUCGACCUCGUACUUCGGAAAUCAACUUGAAGAUACUAAAAAUAAUAACGGAUCAUGGCAGUACAGGAGAUAACUCGGAUGAUUCCGAGACAUCAAUUGGUAUUCAUACUACUGUUGAAAGUAUCGACCUCGUACUUCGGAAAUCAACUUGAAGAUACUAAAAAUAAUAACGGAUCAUUCAACUGUAAACUGCUUUCAAAUAUUUUGGAAUAAGAAUGAAGAUUGUCUGUUAGUUUUUAUUUGGUGUUUCCAAUUUGGAUUUAUUCAGUGUUGUCCACGUAUAAGUCGUAUUAUAAAUGUUUUGGUUCUGUUAAUGAUGGCAGUACAGGAGAUAACUCGGAUGAUUCCGAGACAUCAAUUGGUAUUCAUACUACUGUUGAAAGUAUCGACCUCGUACUUCGGAAAUCAACUUGAAGAUACUAAAAAUAAUAACGGAUCAUGGCAGUACAGGAGAUAACUCGGAUGAUUCCGAGACAUCAAUUGGUAUUCAUACUACUGUUGAAAGUAUCGACCUCGUACUUCGGAAAUCAACUUGAAGAUACUAAAAAUAAUAACGGAUCAAAUCUGUGAUCGCAAAAAAAGCAGAAACAAAUGUGAAAAUCAAUAUUAUACAUCUAAUCAUCACCAUAUCACAAUGUUUGUCUACACUGGAACAAGUGGGACGUGUUAUGAUCACUGAAAAUAGUUCGAACAGUUCGUUCGAGUCCAGUGUAUUGGGAUUGCCAACAGUCUCGACUCCUCCGAUUGUAUCCAGACACUCGAAGUUUGGUACACAAAGUAGAUAAAUAGUUGAAACAAUAUGGUAAACAACGAAUUAGCCGCAAGAAACAACAACUUGCUACAAGUGGAGUUUCUAGAAGGAGAUGGUCGAUCGGACAGGGGGUCUUAUGCACCAGGCGCCAACGUACAGAUAUCGCUGGUCCAACGGAUCGACCACAAUGGUUUUUGCAGAUACUUUGACGUACGUAUACGACGAUCGGUAGUCCCUCUACGAUUAUCAUCACUCUCAAUCCAACUACGACCAUCAUCACUGCCAUCAUUUUACUAUCAACUACAACGAAGGCCAUGACGGCUAUGUCGCUGAUAAAGUCAUUAAGAACGAAAUGAACCACCAC
rnacentral:lncRNA from 1 species